UGUAUCGCAUUCAACGCACGGGGGUUUCUAUGUGUUGCAUGCCUAAUAGAUGGCCUCGUUUUGACGAAUAUAUGUCUAUUUUCUUCUGGUGUCGCCACAUGCUAGGGGAGAUGAACCUUCAAUUAGAAUUUUGUGAUCCACUCUUUUGAUGGCACACGCCUUGAUUUUGUGGCGCAUUCAGUGUUUGCUUGUCUCUAGAUAUGGAACCUUGUGUGGGCAUCAGAUCUUUUAUUACCCCUCCUUGUUUUGCCCUUGUUAAGCUUUUCAAAAACGAUUUCCCCAACAUGUUUUUAACACGUGGGGGUGGUCAUAUCAAGACUAUGAAUGCAACCUGGUUGAUCUGGCAGUAGUCAUAUCCUGCCAUAGUCAUAU
rnacentral:misc_RNA from 1 species